CGGUUCGUAAAACUCUGUUGCAAGGGAAGAACAAGUAGCGUAGUAACUGGCGCUACCUUGACGGUACCUUGUUAGAAAGCCACGGCUAACUACGUGCCAGCAGCCGCGGUAAUACGUAGGUGGCAAGCGUUGUCCGGAAUUAUUGGGCGUAAAGCGCGCGCAGGUGGUUCCUUAAGUCUGAUGUGAAAGCCCCCGGCUCAACCGGGGAGGGUCAUUGGAAACUGGGGAACUUGAGUGCAGAAGAGGAUAGUGGAAUUCCAAGUGUAGCGGUGAAAUGCGUAGAGAUUUGGAGGAACACCAGUGGCGAAGGCGACUGUCUGGUCUGUAACUGACACUGAGGCGCGAAAGCGUGGGGAGCAAACAGGAUUAGAUACCCUGGUAGUCCACGCCGUAAACGAUGAGUGCUAAGUGUUGGGGGGUUUCCGCCCCUCAGUGCUGCAGCUAACGCAUUAAGCACUCCGCCUGGGGAGUACGGUCGCAAGACUGAAACUCAAAGA
rnacentral:rRNA from 1 species